rnacentral:rRNA from 1 species
UGUUCCUACGGGGCGCAGCAGUGGGGAAUAUUGGGCAAUGGGCGCAAGCCUGACCCAGCAACGCCGCGUGAGGGAAGACGGUCCUAUGGAUUGUAAACCUCUUUUGUCGGGGAGCAAAGAGGCCACGUGUGGUCAAAAGCGAGAGUACCCGAAGAAAAAGCGUCGGCUAACUCCGUGCCAGCAGCCGCGGUAAUACGGAGGAUGCGAGCGUUAUCCGGAUUUAUUGGGUUUAAAGGGUGCGUAGGCGGGACGGUAAGUCAGCGGUAAAAAUGCGGAGCUCAACUCCGUCGAGCCGUUGAAACUGC